rnacentral:rRNA from 1 species
GAUGAACGCUGGCGGCGUGCCUAAUACAUGCAAGUCGAGCGAACAGACGAGGAGCUUGCUCCUCUGACGUUAGCGGCGGGCGAGUGAGUAACACGUGGAUAACCUACCUAUAAGACUGGGAUAACUUCGGGAAACCGGAGCUAAUACCGGAUAAUAUAUUGAACCGCAUGGUUCAAUAGUGAAAGACGGUUUUGCUGUCACUUAUAGAUGGAUCCGCGCCGCAUUAGCUAGUUGGUAAGGUAACGGCUUACCAAGGCAACGAUGCGUAGCCGACCUGAGAGGGUGAUCGGCCACACUGGAACUGAGACACGGUCCAGACUCCUACGGGAGGCAGCAGUAGGGAAUCUUCCGCAAUGGGCGAAAGCUUGACGGAGCAACGCCGCGUGAGUGAUGAAGGUCUUCGGAUCGUAAAACUCUGUUAUUAGGGAAGAACAAAUGUGUAAGUAACUAUGCACGUCUUGACGGUACCUAAUCAGAAAGCCACGGCUAACUACGUG